CAUAGCCCCUCUGGCCUAUUUCUUACCACAGUCCCCUUUGUACUUUGGGUUCCAGCUGUCCUAACAACUGAAAAUUGCCAGAGUGCCAUGCUAUUUUGUACCUCUGCUUUCUUUCAUUCGUUCUGCUGCUUCUCUCUCGGUUGGCCAGCUUUUCCACCCUGUCAUCUGAUUGUAAGGACUUCAAGAUCAAACUUACCCGCUACCAUAUCUGUGAAUAUACAAGUAGUAAAGUGUAGUGAUUAAGAGUAGGGGCCCUAGAGUCACACACCCGAUGUGGGACUCGAUCCUAGGAGUCCAGGAUCACACGCUGAGCCGAAGGCAGACACUUAACCGUUGUACCACCCAGGCGUCCCACACAGCCUGAUUUAAAAUCCUGCCUCCCAAAAAAAUAAAAUAAAAAAUAAAAUCCUGCCUCCCUUUUCUAUCUGUAGCCAAGCUUUUUGUUGUUUUUUAAGAUUUUAUUUACUGAGAGACAGAGAGAGGCAGAGACACAGGCAAGAGGGAGAAGCAGGCUCCAUGCAGGGAGCCUGAUGGCGGGACUCAAUCCUGGGUCUCCUGGAUCAGGCCCUGGGCUGAAGGCAGGUGCUAAACCACUGAGCCACCCAGGGAUCCCUGAGCCUCUCUGUCCUUGUCUCUAAAUUGAUCACAAAAAAACUUAAAACCCUGCCUGACACAUGAACAUUCAAUAAAUAUCACUUGAUAUUUUUAUGAAUCCUUUCCCUCUCCCUCCUGUCCUCCUCUCCCAGAAUUGAGUACCCUCACCAUGUGUGCUCCCAUGCUGUGGAGUCUCCUUCUACCAUUAACUUGUUUAUCCGUUCCCCAGGAGACACUAGCAGUUUGAGAGCAGAAACCAUACAUGUCCUAAUAGCCUCAGUUUUUGGCACAGUUGAAUGAAUGAAACAUAGCAGAUAGGUCACGAUUAAAAUCUAAGUGUUUACUAAUACCAAUACUCAAUGUAGUUCACAUCUUGGCCAACUGGUGUGCAAGCCAAAAAAAUUAGAAGUUGAAUUUGAACCCUUUUGAGGACCAUUUGAAUGGUAAAUGGUUCUCCAACAUUUCAUUUUCAGGCUGUAGGUGUCCUUAGGUCUAAAAUGAGUCUCCUGUAGACAGCAAAUAGAUGGUCUUGCUUAUUUAUCCAGUCCGAAACCCUGUGUCUUUUGAUGGGAUCAUUUAGCCCAUUCACGUUCAGAGUAACUAUUGAAAGAUAUGAAUUUAGUGUCAUUGUAAUACCUAUUCAGUCCCCGUUUUUGUGGAUUAUUUCUUUGGGCUUCCUCUUUCUUUUACAGAGUCCCCCUUAAUAUUUCUUGCAGAGCUGGUUUGGUGAUCACAUAUUCUUUCAUCUCCACAAGGCUAAAUUUAAUUGUACUUUGUACAUUAUUCUGUGAGGUCAGAACUGGAAGAGCUUAUCUGGUGCAGAAACUUCCAGAAUGUUCUGCAGAGCCUGGAAUGUUCUUGAAAGUUGUCUUAGAGCCUCUGGGCCCUGUCCCAUCUUCUACCAAAGUAAAUAUGCUUUGAUCUAUGUCAUAUAUUGGGCUUCACAUAAAUUUAUGUUUAACCAAAGAGUUCAAAGUCCAAAUAUAUUCUCUUUAAAGCAAUUUAACCUCUUAUGUUAUCAAGAGGGAAAUGGCUCCAGAGUCAGAAAUAGCUUGUUGGUGCCAACCAGACUAGAACCCAGACCUCUGCAUACGUCCCAUGACUUUCCCAAAUCCUAUAGAUUGUAUUCACAUAUUUAGACUUUGUGAGAUGUGGAGGGUUUUCAACAACAAAUUCCUAGGUUCCAGCAGUUGCUAAAUAACGUAAGGGAGUUUUAAAAAAAUAUUUUUUUAUUCAUUCAUGAGAGGAUGUUUUUUGGAGUUUAAAAAAAAUAUUUUAUUUUGGGAGUUUUAAAAAAAAUGGGGGGGGAGUUUUAAAAAAUUAUUUUAUUUAUUCAUUCAUGAGAGACAGAGAGGCAGAGGGAGAAGCAGGCUCCUCAGGGGGAGCCUGAUGUGGGACUCAAUCCCAGGACCCCGAGAUCACAACCUGAUCCAAGGGCAGAUGCCCAACCACUGAGGCACCCAGGUGCCCCAAGGUAUUGUUUCAAAAUGUUCUGAAAUCUAGAAUUAAGCAAUGUCAGGAACAAGCUAAUGUUAGCUAUCAAAAUUUAAAUAAAAUGUAUAAAUAACUCAUUUUCCCCUGCUGUUUAUAUGCAGUGUGCCAAGAUUUAACAACAUAAAGGAAAAGUAAGGUGGGAGAGACUUGGUAUUCUUGGUAUGCUUGCUCACCUCCAGUGAGAGGGGUGGAGCCAGAACUGGAAGGGAGUGACCAGGAAGAUGCACUGCCUUUCCAGCCUGAAACUGGUAUGCCUUUCCUUGUUAAUGACUUCCACCUGAAAGCUGCUCUGUGUCAGAGAACUGGCCCCCUACAUAUAGUCCAUGUGGCUGUUUGCAGUUAAUGGGACAGAAAAUCAUUCCAAUAAAAUACGGCCUUUGGAAAAGAUGUUUUACUCAAGUAGUUUGAGAAAAUUACAUUUCCAGCAUGAUUGUGGCAAAAAAAGCAAAUCUUUGACCCCUUUAUCCCCUUUCUUGUGUUCCAAAAAAACAGGCUACUAUGCUAAUGGCAGCUGAAAUUAGAACGAACUUAAAAACCUCAAAAAUUUGUAUCAAUACAGUCAUUAGUAUCUCACCAUCAAGUUCCAUAUUCAGCAUUCUGAGAGGAUAUAGAAAGGUCAAUAAAUGUACCAAUUUUUUGUUUUUGUCUCAGGAGUCAGAAACAAAAACAAUAUGCUAGUACAUAUAAACAACUAUGAAAGGGACAGGACUCAAAGUAUACCUGUGUAGAGAGAAUCACAGAACUUUAGAAGCCUAGAAAGGCUCUCAGAAGAUCACUCCAAGGUGCAUUCAUUUUUUACAGUUUUCCUGACAGAAUAAAUAAGUAGUGUGGUGGUGUUCACCACUUCAUAAAACAGCCCCUCCCAUGUUUCUUAAGGCAUUUAAUGCUAAGGUCUCUCACAGGCUGCAUCAAGGUGUCACUUGGAGCUGUGUUUUCAUCCCAAGGUUUGCCUGGGGACAAAAUGUGGGACAGAUGUGCUUUCCUGCUCACACAGUUGGCAGAAUGCAGUUCACUGUGAGUUGUAGAACCAAUGCCCUCAGGUUCUUGCUAUUGGGUGGAGGCUAUCCUCAGUCCCCUGCCAUGUAUGCCUUUCCAUGGGGUAACUCACAACAGAGCAGCAGGCUUGCAUCAAAGUAUGCAAGAGAAAAAAAAAAAAAA
rnacentral:lncRNA from 1 species